AUACUCUGAUUUAUCUUCAAAUCAUAUAAAUCUUUCACCUUUUACUAAAGAUUUCCGUAGAGAAUGGGCUACCAGUGUGUUAAAUAUUGAUCCUUUCAGCCCUCCACAGCCUUCUGUGUC
rfam:Pteropus alecto contig51793, whole genome shotgun sequence.